rnacentral:lncRNA from 10 species
GGAAGACCUCUCUGAGAAUGAGUCUUAACCAGAGAGACCUGAAUGGCAGAGAGAAACCAGCAAUGCAAAGACCAGACAUGGAGAUUUCCAGGUACUGGAAGGAAUAGAGAUAAUGAGAGCCUGGAACUAGAGUCUGGUGGUUAUACCAGAAGAGGAAGCCAACACUGCAGAUGGCAGAGUUAAGAGGAGAGAAACGGAAUUGUGAUGACUUCCUUGAGUCCAUAAAUCCACACAAAGUCAGUUAUUCCCUUGCACAUUUUAUUUACACUGAUUACACUGAGCCACUUUUUGCUAAAGCCAGUUUGAGUGGGGUUUCCUAAUACCUGCAAACAGCAGAACGACCAUUGGCAUGGAGAUUCUGGAAGAAGCCACCAUCCAGUCCUAAUAUGCAGGUAAAGGCAUAAAGAGUGGGCAGAUCAUGGGGCAGGUGAGCCCACAUCACCGGGAAGUCUUUGUGGGAUCAACAGGCUGUAUAGCAACACUGAUGGGAAGCCCAAGCAUGGGCAGCUCUGAUACCGAGCUGGGGCCAGGGAAGGGUGGCCAGAAUUCACCCAGAAAAAGCAGUCCAAUGGUGAGGCUGGGCCUGGCCAUUGGGUCUGUUCAACACAGAGGACAACCAAACAGAAAGACAGGCAUAGACAGCUGAACACUACUGCAGUGAAACCACCGAGCAUGAAGAGGACACAUCACAGAGGAAACUCUCCUCUUCCAGGACUACCUUGAACCUUGGAUCCUUUUCUACCUCCCAGGCCACUGAGUUCCUGGACAUUUAUCCUUAUGAAACCCUACCAAUGAAUUCAACAUCAGUCAGUGAGGGGAUUUAAGAACAGUCUGCCCA